rnacentral:rRNA from 1 species
UACGGAGGGUGCAAGCGUUAUCCGGAUUCACUGGGUUUAAAGGGUGCGUAGGCGGAUUAGAAAGUCCGUUGUGAAAUCUCUGAGCUUAACUCGGAAAUUGCGGUGGAUACUAUUAGUCUUGAAUACUGUGGAGGUUAGCGGAAUAUGUCAUGUAGCGGUGAAAUGCAUAGAUAUGACAUAGAACACCAAUUGCGAAGGCAGCUGGCUACACGAAUAUUGACACUGAUGCACGAAAGCGUGGGGAUCAAACAGG